GGAGGAAAAGAAACUAACUAGGAUUCCCUUAGUAACGGCGAGUGAACCGGGAUGAGCUCAAAUUUAAAAUCUGGCGUCUUUCAGGCGUCCGAGUUGUAAUCUAUAGAGGCGUUUUCCGCGCCGGACCGCGUCCAAGUCUCUUGGAAUAGAGUAUCAAAGAGGGUGACAAUCCCGUACUUGACGCGACAACCGGUGCUCUGUGAUACGUUCUCAAUGAGUCGAGUUGUUUGGGAAUGCAGCUCUAAAUGGGUGGUAAAUUCCAUCUAAGGCUAAAUAUUGGCGAGAGACCGAUAGCGAACAAGUACCGUGAGGGAAAGAUGAAAAGCACUUUGGAAAGAGAGUUAAACAGCACGUGAAAUUGUUAAAAGGGAAACGAUUGAAGUCAGUCGUGUGAAAGGUAUUCAGCCGUCUCUGGCGGUGUAUUUGCCUUUCACGGGUCAACAUCAGUUUGAUCCGGUAGAAAAAGGCAGGAGGAAGGUGGCACCCUCGGGUGUGUUAUAGCCUCUUGUCAUAUGUGCCGGACCAGACUGAGGAACGCAGCUUGCCGCAAGGCCGGGGUUCGCCCACGUACAAGCUUAGGAUGUUGACAUAAUGGCUUUAAACGACCCGUCU
rnacentral:rRNA from 1 species